rnacentral:rRNA from 1 species
UACGAACUGUGCAACCGUUAUUCGGAUUCACUGGGCUUAAAGGGUGCGUAGGCGGCCAUGUAAGUAGGGUGUGAAAUCCCCCGGCUUAACCGGGGAACUGCGCCCUAAACUGUGUGGCUUGAGUGAGAUAGGGGUGUGUGGAACUUCCGGUGGAGCGGUGAAAUGUGUUGAUAUCGGAAGGAACGCCGGUGGCGAAAGCGACACACUGGGUCUCAACUGACGCUGAGGCACGAAAGCGUGGGGAGCAAACAGG